AUUUACAUAGUUUAACAAUAAAACAUUACACUUUCAUUGUAAAAAUAAAACUUUUUUUGUAAAUA
rnacentral:tRNA from 1 species